AUAGCGUAUAUUAAAGUUGUUGCAGUUAAAAAGCUCGUAGUUGGAUCUCAGGUUGUGAAUGCAUGGUGUGCUUUUUUAGGCACUACUUUGUAUUCCGCCUUACUAGUCGUUAGCUAUUGCUGGUGCUCUUUACUGAGUUGCUAGUAAUGCACGACAUGUUUACUUUGAAAAAAUUAGAGUGCUCAAGGCAGGCCUUUUCGCCUGUAUAAUGUUGCAUGGAAUAAUGGAAUAGGGCUCUGCCGCUAUUUUGUUGGUUUUCAGUAUAUUAGUAGAGCAAUGAUUAAAAGGAGUAGAACGGGGGCUAAAGUAUGGUCGCGCUAGAGGUGAAAUUCUUGGACCGUGGCCAGACUAACUAUUG
rnacentral:rRNA from 1 species